rnacentral:rRNA from 1 species
GUGUCAGCAGCCGCGGUAAUACAGAGGGUGCAAGCGUUGUUCGGAAUUAUUGGGCGUAAAGCGCGUGUAGGCGGCUUGGCAAGUCAGAUGUGAAAGCCCUCGGCUUAACCGAGGAAGUGCGUCUGAAACUGCUGAGCUUGAGUGUCGGAGAGGAUGGCGGAAUUCCGCAAGUAGAGGUGAAAUUCGUAGAUAUGCGGAGGAACACCGGUGGCGAAGGCGGCCAUCUGGACGACUACUGACGCUGAGACGCGAAAGCGUGGGGAGCAAACAGGAUUAGAAACCCUCGUAGUCC